rnacentral:rRNA from 1 species
UCCUUAGAUGUCCGGGGCUGCACGCGCGCUACACUGAAGGAAUCAGCGUGCUAAAACCAUUGUCGAAAGGCAUUGGUAAACCCAUUAAAAUCCUACGUGAUUGGGAUCGGGAAUUGCAAUUAUUUCCCUUGAACGAGGAAUUCCCAGUAAGUGUGGGUCAUAAGCUCGCGUUGAUUACGUCCCUGCCCUUUGUACACACCGCCCGUCGCUGCCCGGGACUGGGCCGUUUCGAGAAAAGCGGGGACUGCUGCUGUCGGGGCUUUCGGGCCUUGGCUUCGGUGGAAACCGCUUUAAUCGCAGUGGCUUGAACCGGGCAAAANUCGUANCA